rnacentral:rRNA from 1 species
CUACGGGCCGCUGCAGUCGAGAAUCUUCGACAAUGGGCGAAAGCCUGAUCGAGCGACGUCGCGUGGUGGAUGAAGCACUUCGGUGCGUAAACACCUUUUAUAGGGGAGAAAGUUUAUUGAUGUUACCUUAUGAAUAAGGGGCCUCUAAGCUCGUGCCAGCAGAGGCGGUAAUACGAGCGCCCCGAGCGUUAUCCGGAAUUACUGGGCGUAAAGGGUGUGUAGGCGGCCAUGUUAGUCCCGUGUUAAAUCCUCUCGCUUAACGAGAGAUUCGCGCGGGAUACGGCAUGGCUCGAGGGUGUGAGGGGUCUGUGGAACUCACGGUGUAGGGGUGAAAUCCGUUGAUAUCGUGGGGAACACCAAACGCGAAGGCAGCAGACUGGCACACUCCUGACGCUGAAACACGAAAGCCAGGGUAGCGAAGCGGAUUAGAUACCCUAGUAGUC